GAGCUAAUGACCCUGCUUCGAAUAGCUGACAAAAUAACGAGGACAGCGCGUUUCUAAUAUAACCCUCAGUGUACAGUUAGCAGUACAGCAUUGUAUCUUGAUUUGAGUUGCAGCAGUGAAAUAUCGCCUGAUCGCCAUUUCUAAUGGUUUUGCUGUGACAAAGAAAGGCGGUAAUUACGGCUCUUUGCUUCGUUCCCCAUAAAGUAACUGAGAAAGCUGACGACUUGAACCGGAAGCCAGCAGAUAAUAAAAGCGAUCAGCACCGCUAAUAACAUCUUGACGGCCUUCUGCUUAGUCUUGAGGAGCACUCUUGUAUUCACGCUACUCAUUUCCCCUGGAGCUUUAUGCACCCACAGCCGCCACCCAAUAAUCGCGGGCAUCGUAGCCAUAGCAACAAAAGGUAAACAAUAAAUGAAUACGAAAAGAACGAUAGUAUCCCCUUUGCUUGCUACAUCUGUCUCAAACACUGGGGUCCAGUCCUCCUGGCAGCUAAUGAUGCCCUCGGCCUUAUUGAGUCGAUAAGAGUAGAGGACUGGUGCCGCAACCGCACCUGAUAUUGACCAAGUGAAAUGCGCAAGGUCUUUGAUGAGGAUCUCCGCAGCAUCGGAAGCACAAUGGCUAGCAGCUGGUCAGCGGCAAUCACUGUUAGUGUUAGGACGGUUGCCGCUAGAAGCAUGUAUUGUCCAAAGUUGAGAAACUUGCAACAGAACACAGAGAACGGCUUGUUAACUGAACAGAGAAAUAGGGAAAGGAAUGAAUGAGGACUUGUAAAAUCAUCAUCAUCACCAUCACAACCAAGACUUCCAUAAUCAUCAAUGUCAUCAUUUAUCACAAUUAGUAGUACCGCCCAUUCCACAACUGCUAUCAUUGUCAUAAUCAAAAAAGGGAAAUAAUAAUUGAAGCGGACUUCCAAACAUGGCAUGUAAUGUCCUAAUAAGGAAUUGACCGAGAGAGCUAAUAAAACGACAGUUUUCAAAACAAGAUUGAUUGACAUGUGAUAAUUACCUUGGAGCCAGUCGUACCAAGCGAAGAUUUCAAAAUAAAAGGGCGGAAUCGCUACAACCGUAAAGAGAAGCUCUGCCAAGGCAAGAUUACAGAUCAGGAAGUUGGUGACAGUGCGCAUGCGAAGAUUGCGGUUAACCGCUAUGAUCGUCAGCAGGUUGCCGAUGAUGGCUGCAAGUGUGACUGCCGUGCAGGCGAGGGCCUUGGUAACGAGCUCAGCAACUGAGUCCUGUGGGUAAGUGCUUGCCAAGGCCGAACUAUUGCUUGAGUUGACUUCCAUGGAGGGAUUCUAUAGACAGUGACCACUGCUGACAAAACGUUCUACGUUUUACUGGCAUUUUCAAUAUCCUGCGAGCUCUCAUCAAUAAUUUGCAACUGCUAACGGCUUUCUGGCUUCCGUCAAUCAAACUAACGGAACUGCAUUUGGUGCUUUUUGAUUGGUCAAAACCUUGAGGAGAGGUGGCGUGAUUGGACACAUUUGAAUGGCUGCUGGCCAAUGAAAACGCUUCAAGGAUUUUGAAUGACGGAAGCUACGAGACCAUUUAGCUGUUUGAUAUCGUCGUCGAAAAUUCGCAGAAUAUUGAAAGCUGCAGGCCGUCAAUUUCUUAUGGACUAUAAGAUCCUACUAGACUCAAAACGUUUUUCACCACUGGUGACAACCACUGGUGACAACCACUCGUGACAUAUAAGGUCCCUUGUGCAUUUUGUGGCUAGUGUUUUCAACGAUUUGAGCUACAAAGCGCGGCCGUACACAUAGAGCGAGCAGAAAAGUAUGACCGCGCAAAGAAUGGGGAGAGGGUUUGUUUCGCCUCUUCGCAUCCUUCGCCAUACACGAUUCGAGAAUCCCGGGGCGCGUUGCAUUGUGGACAUGAGUCUAAAAUUUUAGUGCGUGUGUUAUAAUGGUUUGACUGGGUAGACCGGGUCGAGUCGACAUUCCAACAACAACCUGUCCACAAUGCAAUGGAAGCCGAGAUUCGCGAAUCGUGUAUCUUCGGACAUGACGGAAAAAACCUGGAAAAUGCGCAGCUCGAUAUAAAGAAAGACAUUUCUUACAAAUUUCUUACAAUGGCCAUCUUUUUCUUGUAUUACGAAUCAAUUUUCAAAACACAAAUAACGUGAGGCUGAAAUGCACAUACCCCGA